UAGAUAGCGGCCCUCUCUUUGAAUUCUUUGGUCAUCAACCUCAAUAUUUGGGAUGUGAGAAAUGCAAGCCCAAUCCGCACCCUUUCUAUUUCCACAUCUUUCCUUCAAUUGGGGACAGUCAUUGAUAUUCAAUUCUCGUAACGAGGUGAGGGAACGCAUCUCUUGAGGCAGACACUUUAUUGCCGGACAAAUCUCAAUGGUUAGUCUUUGAAGACAAGUGAGAUUCCGCAGUCCAUCUGGAGGUAGAGAUUCGAGCUCUUUAAUGUCCCUAAUCCGAAGGAUCUUCAAUUUAGAGAGAGGAGGAACGAUUGAGGAAGAAGAAGAGAUUGAUGGUGUGAAUAUUUGGUGCACAAGUUGUGGGCUUGCGUACCGCAAAGAUAGUGAAUGAUCGAGAGAUGGAAACUGAGGGAUGGAGGUCAAAUUAGGGCAGUCCUCACAAACGAAAUAUGAAAGACAAGGAAAUUGGAGUAGCUCAAGAGCUGUCGAAUCAUCCUCCUUCUUCUUCUGCCAUCCUUUAAGCUUAGGACAACGAUAUAGCUCGAGAGUCUUUAGGGAUGGAAAGAAUGAUGUUGGUUGUUCCUCAAUCUCCAUGUAUUCUAAAUCAUCUACUCCCCAAAUCUCUAGAUAUUGAAGAGAAGGGAUUUGAUCCAUUGGUGGGAGAUGCUGAUAUCUCUUGCAAUUCCAUAUACAGAGAUAGACAAGAUUCGUGAGGGAAGAGAACCAACUUGGGAACCUCCUGCCUCCAUAGUUAAGCACGCGUAACUCUUUAAGAUUGGGAUGUGGUUGGAGAUUUUGGAAUGCCAUUUCAUCUCUAUCAACAUUUGAAUCUUCCCAACUCUCCUCCCAACUUAAUUUCAAUGAUUGAAUGAGUGGCUUCUCUUUCAAAUUAACAUUUACAAUCUCAUUAUCCACACAUCCCAGAUUUCUAAUUGCAAGACGUCCCCUCAAAUUGCUAAGCUUAUUCAAUUCAUUUAUUUUUCCAACAUCCUUUGAGGAAAUAUGCCCUUUUGCCACUACGAACAGUGACAACGUCUGAAGUGAAGUCAACUGCCCAAGCCCACGUGGCAUAUGAGUCAAAGAGUAACAACCUUCACAAUAUAAAUGCCUAAGAUUCACAAGCUUUUUAAUAUCUUUAGGCAAUUCUUUGAGCUGGACACAAUAAGAGACAUCGAAUACUUGUAAAUUCAGCAAAUCCGUAAUAGAAUGUGAAAGUGCUUUAAGUCCCUUGUUAUCGGAAACAUCAAGAUAUCUUAUAUAUUUUAGCAUUUUUAUAGAAUUAUCCACCGUUUUAUAUGAAUGCAUUGUAAAUACACGUAAAAAUUUUAAAUUUUUAUAAAUAAAUAACUGAUCGUAAUCAUAUUUCUCAAGAAAAAGAAGCGAUCGUAGUCUUUUUGUGUUAUUAAGAAUUUCUUUUGAUGCAACAUCCAAAUUCAAUGCUAAAUGAUGGAUUUUAUCAUCAAUAUUUGAUGCAUCAGAAUUUACUAGCUGAAUUCUCUUCCCACCCACUGUGGUUGCGAGAUCGUGCAUUAAAUCAUGCAUUUUACAGCUUUCUACAUUUCCACAUCUAUCUCUUUUCACCUCUUGAAAAAAUGACCUCCACCACAGUUUCAUAAAAUAUUCAAGCCCAAUAUCUUCAAGACAAUCACUCCAACUUGGUGACUCAAUAAACCCUUGUGCAAUCCAAAGAUGGAUUAAUCUUUUCACAUCAAUCACAUAAUCUUUUGGAUAUAUUGCGCAAUAUGCAAAACAAUGCUUCAAAUGUGAUGGGAGAUGAUCAUAACUUAGCUUCAGUGUUGGCAUAAUAUCAUUACCAUCUUGACUUAUUCUUGAGAGUUCUUUUGUUAAAAAGGGCAGCCACUCAGUUUCUGGAUUUUUCGCAUACAAGAGACUUGCGAUAGUUUUUAUUGCAAGAGGAACUCCAUGACAUUUCUUCAAAAUCUCCUUUCCCAUCUCUCUUACAUUUGCAUGUUUUGGCUCCUGCCCCUCAAGUGCUACAUGCAAAAACAAAGACCAAGACUCAUCCGGAGACAACCCUUCCAAAACAUGUGGUGCUAUUGUGCCAGAUAUAUCUGCCACCAUUUUAGAGCGAGUGGUUAUUAAUAUCUUACUUCCACUAGAGCCACCCACUAAUAAUCUCUUUAAAUUCUGCCAUUUUUCUCUAUUCUCAUUCCACACAUCAUCUAGAACAAGCAGAUAUUUCUUCCCACUAAAAAUUUUUUCCAGUCUAGACUUCAAUGCUUCUAACCCAAGAUCUUCCGAUCUAUUCCCUGUUGCAGACUCUAGAAUCUUUCCAACAGUCAUUUUCACAUCAAAAGGUUCUGAAACACACACCCAUAUUCUUGGCUCAAAUGAAUUCUUAAUCAAUUCAUCAUUCAAUAUGAUUUGAGCAAGAGUGGUCUUCCCUAAUCCUCCAAUUCCAACAAUUGAGAGGACUGAAACACACUCUUCACCAUUGGAAGACAAUACAAGUUGUGUAAUUGCCUUUUUGUCACCCUCUCUCCCAAUAACCACUUCAGGUAAAGAGGACGUAGUUUGAUCCCUCCAUACAAUACUCUCCUGAUCAGUACGAACCUCUAAAUUAAAUUUUCUGUCAGCUUCAAUAUCAGCUAGCCUCUCCCUAAUCGCCUUAACUUUAUGACCCAUUUUAAAACCAUAAACAAGUUUAUUUGAAGACGAAAAGAAGAGACUUACCUCCUUUGUCAUUCUAUUUCCAGUCAUCACUCGGCGCCUUAGGGCUUCUGUGGCGAAGUCAUCUACCAAGUCAUCAGCAUCAUAAACCACUUCUUCUAGCCUCUCAAGCCAGCCUUUCACUUGACGGUUAAGUUUCUGCUGCUCCUCAGCAUCCAGAAGAACGUUGCGAAUACUAGAAACUGUGGCCUCAAGUUUCUUAAGCUCACCUUUGACGCCCCACCACAAUCCGAUCUCAUGAAGGGCUCGAGAACCCAGCUUGGUAAUGAUAUCUAUGACAACGUUAGAGAGAACUCCGUCGGCCAUUUUGGGUGUUUUGGUUUGAUUGUAAAAGGAUGAAAUGUUGCUGUGAAGAAGAAGAUGGUGACAACAAAUGACUAAUUUAAAGAAAAAAAAAAGUGAAGGAAAAAGCAUUCUUCUAAAUAAUUAUCUUCAGUCGGUCAGCUUUGGUGGGCGGUGGUUUGCUUUAAUUUAAAAAGUAAAAUAUAUUAAUAAAUUUAUAUAUAGAAUGAAAGUAAGUUAUGUUUUUUUUAAAAUAAUUUUAUUUUUUUAUUUAAAAAAUAUUUUUUAUUAAAUAAAUUUUGAGUGAUUCAAAUCGUUAAAAAAUAUAAAAUAUAUUUUUAAUGUUAAUGAAUUUUGGUUAUUGAAAUGAAAGUAUUUUUAUAUAUUUGUAUGAUGAUAUAAAAUUAUAUCAGGUGUAACAUGUAUAAUAGAUUUAUUAUGAGUUUUAAAGAUUUUAAAUGGAUCUGAAUUUCAAUACUGUAGCGAUUUGAUUUUUGAAUCGUUAUAGAAAUAACCGGUUGAUUUUAUGAAUUCUAGUACUGUAGCGAUUCGAUUUUUAAAUCGUCAUAGGAACAAUAAUCAUUAUAGGAACAAUAGGUUGAUUUUAUUUUUUGGGUAACAGAAUCUCAAGAGUAUCCUAUUGCAUAUUAUAGAUCCAUCGAUGUUAGAGAUGUUGUGUAUGCACACAUUCAAGAUUUGGAGAUUCCUUCUCUUCUGAGGUUCUAAAGAUUGUGUCAGCAACAUUAUCCUACAUUGCACCUUUCAAAAAAGUAUGAUUUUUUUUAUAUUUUUGCAUGCUCAUUUUGAACCAGCUAUAUAAAUGCUAAGAUCUAUAAUUAUUCGGAUAAUUGAGAAAUAGUUGUUUUGAAUGAUUAAUUUGAUCAUGGAAUAUAAUCUGAGUUGCAGAUGUGGCUCUAGAUUGAAUUACUUAACAAAGUAUGAGGUAUCAAAGGAAAAAGCGAAAACUUUGGGCAUUGACUUCAUUCCUUUGGAGGUUAGUUUGAAGGACACUAUUGAAAGCUUGAAGCAGAAGGGCUUCCUCAGCAUUUGAUUUUGGCUGUUGGAUAAAAAGCAAUGCAAAUAUUACAUUGGCCUUAGCUUCCUAUUGGUGCAAGAUCUUAUUGCCCUUCAAGAUUGUCUUUAUUUGAAAAAAGUGGACCAAUACAAUUUAUAAAAUAUAUAACAAUUUGUAUAUAACUGUGUAUAAACAUAUUACAUGUGUCACUUGUUUUAGUGAUAGAUGAAGUUCGUUUCAGGUCUGAUUUAUGAGGAAAUUACUUUUUUUUUUUUUUUUAUCUGAUUUCAGGUCACAUUCCAAAGAAUAAGACACAAGAAAAAGAAAAUGUAUAAUCCACCAAUUCUGAUUUAGUUCGGUCUUUUCAAAGUAUAUUCAGAUUUCAUAGCCAAUUCAUUUAAUGCCGUAUCUGAUUUCUGGUUCUUGUGAUAUGCUCUUACAAAAUUCAUCUAAAAUUCAGUGCUCUUACACAUUCUGGAAACACAAUUUAUACAAAAACUGAUUUCUCAGGAAAAAAAAGGAAAAUAAUGUUAUUUGCAUUGAAUGAACAAAUGAUUAGCAUAGUAGCAAAACUACUUAAAAUAAGAGAAAUUAGAAACCAAAAAGCAGCACAGCAUGAGUCUGGGCAUUGCAUGUUGGAUGAUCGAAACAGAGGUCUUGAGUGCGAAUCUAGAUCCUGAAAUACGCAGGCCUGCAAAAAGUCAUUCGAAGAAGUGUGCAAAACUCCCAUCAUUCAGCUUUCUUUCUGCUUCCCGCUCAGCAGGAUUACUAUGUACUGAGACAGAUAGGAAACUUAUCCCGGUGAGUUUUUAUUCCGGGAUGUCAAGGGCACAAUGCGCAGCUUAGUGAAUCUCCAUCAUCUUUGCCACAGGUGUAAGUUAUGAAGAUAGUUGCUAGAUGGAGGAUUUUCACACUAGUGAUUAAGCAUCUGUUUCAAGCCAGAAUCAUCAUUAAAUCACAGAUUUGCUUUACAAGCAAUAACUAGAGGGAUUUCAUAUUACAAGUAGAGUCUUUAUAACCUACUGAAUCGCUUAUUUGCGAAGACAGAAGAAAAGGAGAGCUCACGUUUUGUUUUUACUGCACAAAUACUGCAUAUGGAAUCUGAGUGAGAAGUUACUCCCUAAAAAUUUCAAAAGUGUUUUUGAGAGGUACCUUUGCGCGAAUCUUCUGGCAACAGACCCAAAGAAGUCAUCCAAUAAGUAGAAAUUCUUCUAUGGAAGGCCACACACAUUAAUAGCAGUUCUUUCAAGGCGAAUUAUGCCAAGCCAAUCAAGGAAUUGCUGCCAUGGCAUGUAGUUGUGGUUUCUUAAUGUGUUCGAGUAACUUCUGCACAAGGAAUCAAAUUAAUCUUUAAAUCCGUGAAAUUAAAAGGGAUGCAGAAUUACAAAACUAAUAAUAAGAACAAUAAUAAUAAGAUGGAUAGAAGCAUGACCUGCCAAUGCAUGAUUUCGGCAAGCCUUUGCUUUGGUUCACCACUUCCCAAUGUAGUAAGAAUUUCAACAGCAUCCCAGAAUUUCAAUAGCAUCCCAAUGAUAACUCAUACUUGAUGAGCCUUGAUGGAGAAAUGAAAGUCCAGUUAAAAUUAUUCAAAAUGCAUAUCCACUCGCCAAGAACAUAUGCACCCAGAAAUCUCCUUAAAUAAAUAAGGUUUUAACAAGGUGAAUGCUUUGCUUUUUCUUUUUUUGGGAAGAACUUCAAAGUAAACAAAGGUAAGACUGUUGGGUUUUGAUGUUUACCUUGUGUGGGAGAAAUAUGAUGUUUACCCAGAAAUCACAUUUUUGUUUUCAGAAUAAAUGGUUUUUUCCACCUCUGCAUUUGACAUUGAAAAAACUUGAAUAAAUACCAAAUAAUUAAGAAAUGCUGCUGAUUUAAUUUACAAAGGAAUGGUGCAUGUGAAGAGAAAUUGACAUAUGACAAUCACAUUCAGCACAAUCAAUUCUCAUCCUAAUUUAGAAGACUAAUCAAACUAACUGCAGCAAUAACAUCUUUUCCACGAAGUCUACUAACUUCUGCACAUAGAGUCAAAAUUAAUCCGUUAUAUCCAUGAAAAGAAUGAAGGCAGAAUUACAUUAAAAAAUGAAUAAAAAUGAUGGUUAAAAGAAUGACCUGCCAAUGCAUUUAAAAUCUCUUUGAAUUUGUUUCCCACAUCCCAAUUUAUUAGAAUUUCAGGUGAGUAAAAAAAGAAAAAAAUGAUUCCUCUAGCUUGAUGAGCCUGUAUAUGUGGGAAAAAAGUGUUAAAAUAUUAUCAUAAAGCAAACAAAUUCUCAAUUACACAAAAAAUAAAAGAAAGAAAAGGUACGCUGUAUAUUGAUCUUGAUUGUAAAGAAAUAAUGACAAAAGGAUACUUACAACUCAAAGGUAAUACACUGCUCAUUUUGGAAGAAACACAUCCAACACUUCAAAACUUAUCCUUCAUUGAUCUGUGUAAAUAGAAUCAUAGAGUGAAGAUUUUCUCAUGUAAGUUUAGUUUGCAAAUUGGAGAGAAAAAGGACCAACUUACCGAAGCUUCAUCAUCCAGUAGAUAGCGGCCCUCUCUUUGAAUUCUUUGGUUAUCAACUUCAAUAUUUGGGAUGUGAGAAAUGAAAGCCCAAUCCGCACCCUUUCUAUUUCCACAUCUUUCCUUCAAUUGGGGACAGUCAUCGAUAUCCAAUUCUCGUAACGAGGUGAGGGAACGCAUCUCUUGAGGCAGACACUUUAUUGCCGGACAAAUCUCAAUGGUUAGUCUUUGAAGACAAGUGAGAUUCCGCAGUCCAUCUGGAGGUAGAGAUUCGAGCUCUUUAAUGUCCCUAAUCCAAAGGUUCUUCAAUUUAGAGAGAGGAGGAAUGAUUGAGGAAGAAGAAGAGAUUGAUGGUGUGAAUAUUUGGUGCACAAGUUGUGGGCUUGCGUGCAGCAAAUGUAGUGAAUCAUCGAGAGAUGGAAACUGAGGGAUGGACUUCAAAUUAGGGCAGUCCUCACAAACGAAAUAUGAAAGACAAGGAAAUUGGAGUAGCUCAAGAGCUGUCGAAUCAUCCUCCUUCUUCUUCUGCCAUCCUUUAAGCUUAGGACAACCAUAUAGCACGAGAGUCUUUAGGGAUGGAAAGAAUGAUGUUGGUUGUCCCUCAAUCUCCAUGUAUUCUAAAUCAUCUACUCCCCAAAUCUCUAGAUAUUGAAGAGAAGGGAUUUGAUCCAUUGGUGGGAGAUGCUGAUAUCUCUUGCAAUUCCAUAUACAGAGAUAGACAAGAUUCGUGAGGGAAGAGAACCAACUUGGGAACCUCCUGCCUCCAUAGCCAAACACAAGUAACUCUUUAAGAUUGGGAUGUGGUUGGAGAUUUUGGAAUGCCAUUUCAUCUCUAUCAACAUUUGAAUCUUCCCAACUCUCCUCCCAACGUAGUUUCAAUGAUUGAAGGAGUGGCUUCUCUUUCAAAUUAACAUUUACAAUCUCAUCAUCCACACAUCCCAGAUUUCUAAUUUCAAGACGUCCCCUCAAAUUGUUAAGCUUAUUCAAUUCAUUUAUUUUUCCAACAUCCUUUGAGGAAAUAUGCCCUUUUCCCACUACGAACAGUGACAACGUCUGAAGUGAAGUCAACUGCCCAAGCCCACGUGGCAUAUGAGUCAAAGAGUUACAACCUUCACAAUAUAAAUGCCUAAGAUUCACAAGCUUUUUAAUAUCUUUAGGCAAUUCUUUGAGCUCGUCACAAUAAGAGACAUCUAAUACUUGUAAAUUCAGCAAAUCCGUAAUAGAAUUUGAAAGUGCUUUAAGUUUCUCGUUAUCGGAAACGUCAAGAUAUCUUAGAUAUUUUAGCAUUUUUAUAGAAUUAUCCAUUAUUCUAUAUGAAUGCAUAGUAAAUACACGCAAAAAUUUUAAAUUUUUAUAAAUAAAUAGCUGAUCGACAUUAUGUUCCUCAGACAAAAGAAUCGAUCGUACUCUUUUUGCAUUGUUAAGAAUUUCUUGUGGUGCAACAACUAAAUUCAAUGCUACAUGAUGGGUUUUCUCAUCAAUAUUUGGUGCAUCAGAAUUUACUAGCUGAAUCCUCUUUCCACCCACUGUGGUUGCGAGAUCGUGCAUUAAAUCAUGCAUUUUACAGCUUUCUACAUUUCCACAUCUAUCUCUUUCCACCUCUUGAAAAAAUGACCUCCACCACAGUUUCAUAAAAUAUUCAAGCCCAAUAUCUUCAAGACAAUCACUCGUACUUGGUGAUUCAAUAAACCCUUGUGCAAUCCAAAGAUGGAUUAAUGUUUUCACAUCAAUCACAUAAUCUUUUGGAUAUAUUGCGCAAUAUGCAAAACAAUGCUUCAAAUGUGAUGGGAGAUGAUCAUAACUUAGCUUCAGUGUUGGCAUAAUAUCAUUACCAUCUUGACUUAUUCUUGAGAGUUCUUUUGUUAAAAAGGGCAACCACUCAGUUUCUGGAUUUUUCGCAUACAAGAGACUUGCUAUAGUUUUUAUUGCAAGUGGAACUCCAUGACAUUUCUUCAAAAUCUCCUUUCCCAUCUCUCUUACAUUUGCAUGUUUUGGCUCCUGCCCCUUAAGUGCUACAUGCAAAAACAAAGACCAAGACUCAUCCAGAGACAACCCUUCCAAAACAUGUGGUGCUGUUGUGCCAGAUAUAUCUGCCACCUUUUUAGAGCGAGUGGUUAUUAAUAUCUUACUUCCACUAGAGCCACCCACUAAUAAUCUCUUUAAAUUCUGCCAUUUUUCUCUAUUCUCAUUCCACACAUCAUCUAGAACAAGCAGAUAUUUCUUCCCACUAAUAAUUUUUUCCAGUCUAGACUUCAAUGCUUCUAACCCAAGAUCUUCCGAUUUAUUCCCUGUUGCAGACUCUAGAAUCUUUCCAACAGUCAUUUUCACAUCAAAAGGUUCUGAAACACACACCCAUAUUCUUGGCUCAAAUGAAUUCUUAAUCAUUUCAUCAUUCAAUAUGAUUUGAGCAAGAGUGGUCUUCCCUAAUCCUCCAAUUCCAACAAUUGAGAGGACUGAAACACACUCUUCACCAUUGGAAGACAAUACAAGUUGUGUAAUUGCCUUUUUGUCACCCUCUCUCCCAAUAACCACUUCAGGUAAAGAGGACGUAGUUUGAUCCCUCCAUACAAUACUCUCCUGAUCAGUACGAACCUCUAAAUUAAAUUUUCUGUCAGCUUCAAUAUCAGCUAGCCUCUCCCUAAUCGCCUUAACUUUAUGACCCAUUUUAAAACCAUAAACAAGUUUAUUUGAAGACGAAAAGAAGAGACUUACCUCCUUUGUCAUUCUAUUUCCAGUCAUCACUCGGCGCCUUAGGGCUUCUGUGGCGAAGUCAUCUACCAAAUCAUCAGCAUCAUAAACCACUUCUUCUAGCCUCUCAAGCCAGCAUUUCACUUGACGGUUAAGUUUCUGCUGCUCCUCAGCAUCCAGAAGAACGUUGCGAAUACUAGAAACUGUGGCCUCAAGUUUCUUAAGCUCACCUUUGACGCCCCACCACAAUCCGAUCUCAUGAAGGGCUCGAGAACCCAGCUUGGUAAUGAUAUCUCCGACAACGUUAGAGAGAACUCCGUCGGNNNNNNNNNNNNNNNNNNNNNNNNNNNNNNNNNNNNNNNNNNNNNNNNNUUUAAAUAAAAAAAAAAAAAAAGAAGUGGAGGAAAAAGCGGUCCGUUAACUUUGGACGGCGCUGGUUUGCUUUAAUUUAAAAAGUAAAAUAUAUUAAUAAAUUUAUAUAUAGAAUGAAAGUUAGUUAUUUUUUAUAAAAUAAUUUUAUUUUUUAUUAAAUAAAUUUUAUGAGUGAUUUAAAUCGUUAAAAAAUAUAAAAUAUAUUUUUGAUGUUACUAAAAUUUUGUUAUUGAAAUGAAAGUAUUUUUAUAUAUUUUGUGAUGAUGUAUAAAGUUACAUUAGGUAUAAUAUGAUGUAUAGUAAAUUUAUUAUGAGUUUUAAUGACUUUAAAUCGAUUUAAAUUUUAAUAUUGAUAGCGGUUCAAUUUCUGAAUUAUUAUCGAAAUGUAUAGCAGGAGCUCAAGAGUAUCCUGUUGCAUAUUAUAGAUCCAUCGAUAUAAAAAAUAUGGCAUAUGCACACAUUCAGGAUUUAGAGAUUCCUUCAGCUAGUGGCAGAUAUUGUUUAAUUAAAAGAGAUGUCCACUUCUCUGAGGUUUUGAAGAUUGUGUCAGCAACAUUAUCCUACAUUGCACCUUCCAAAAAACUAUGGUUUUUUUUAUAUUUUUGCAUGCUCAUGUUGGACCAGCUAUAUGAAUGGCUAAGAUAUAUAAUUAUUUGGAUAACUGAGAAAUAGUUAUUUUGAAUGAUUAAUUUGAUCAUGGAAUAUAAUCUGAGUUGCAGAUGUGGCUCUGAAUUGAAUUACUUAACAAAGUAUGAGGUAUCAAAGAAAAAAGCGAAAACUUUGGAUAUUGAUUUCAUUCCUUUGGAGGUUAGUUGAAGGACACUAUUGAAAGCUUGAAGGAGAAGAGCCUCCUCAGCAUUUGAUUUUGGCUGUCGGAUAAAAAGCAAUGCAAAUAUUACAUUGGCCUUUCAGGUUCAUUGGCUUUAGCUUUCUAUUGGUGUAAGGUAUUAUUGCCCUUCAGAAUUGUCUUUAUUUAAAAAAAGUGAACCCAUACAAUUUGUAAAAUAUAUUAAAAUUUGUAUACAGCUGUAUAUAAACAUAUUACAUGUGUCGCUUGUUUCUGGUAGAUAAAGUUCAUUUCAGGUCUGAUUUCUGAGGAAGUUGCUCUUUUUUUUUAUCUGAUUUCAAGUCUCAUUCCAAAGAAGAAGACACAAGAAAAAGAAAAUGUGUAAUCCACCAAUUCAGAUUUAGUUCAGUCUUUUCAAAGUAUAUUCAGAUUUCAUAGCCAAUUCAUUUAAUGCUGUAUCUGAUUUCUGGUUCUUGUGAUACGCUCUUACAAAAUUCAUUUAAAAUUCAGUACUCUUACACAUUUUGGAAACACAAUUUAUACAAAAACUGAUUUCUCAGGAAAAAAAAGGAAAAUAAUGUUAUUUGCAUUGAAUGAACAAAUGAUUAGCAUAGUAGCAAAACUACUUAAAAUAAGAGAAAUUAGAAACCAAAAAGCAGCACAGCAUGAGUCUGGGCAUUGCAUGUUGGAUGAUCGAAACAGAGGUCUUGAGUGCGAAUCUAGAUCCUGAAAUACGCAGGCCUGCAAAAAGUCAUUCGAAGAAGUGUGCAAAACUCCCAUCAUUCAGCUUUCUUUCUGCUUCCCGCUCAGCAGGAUUACUAUGUACUGAGACAGAUAGGAAACUUAUCCCGGUGAGUUUUUAUUCCGGGAUGUCAAGGGCACAAUGCGCAGCUUAGUGAAUCUCCAUCAUCUUUGCCACAGGUGUAAGUUAUGAAGAUAGUUGCUAGAUGGAGGAUUUUCACACUAGUGAUUAAGCAUCUGUUUCAAGCCAGAAUCAUCAUUAAAUCACAGAUUUGCUUUACAAGCAAUAACUAGAGGGAUUUCAUAUUACAAGUAGAGUCUUUAUAACCUACUGAAUCGCUUAUUUACGAAGACAGAAGAAUAGGAGAGCUCACGUUUUGUUUUUACUGCACAAAUACUGCAUAUGGAAUCUGAGUGAGAAGUUACUCCCUAAAAAUUUCAAAAGUGUUUUUGAGAGGUACCUUUGAGCGAAUCUUCUGGCAACAGACUCAAAGAAGUCAUCCAAUAAGUAGAAAUUCUUCUAUGGAAGGCCACACACAUUAAUAGCAGUUCUUUCAAGGCGAAUUAUGCCAAGCCAAUCAAGGAAUUGCUGCCAUGGCAUGUAGUUGUGGUUUCUUAAUGUGUUCGAGUAACUUCUGCACAAGGAAUCAAAUUAAUCUUUAAAUCCGUGAAAUUAAAAGGGAUGCAGAAUUACAAAACUAAUAAUAAGAACAAUAAUAAUAAGAUGGAUAGAAGCAUGACCUGCCAAUGCAUGAUUUCGGCAAGCCUUUGCUUUGGUUCACCACUUCCCAAUGUAGUAAGAAUUUCAACAGCAUCCCAGAAUUUCAAUAGCAUCCCAAUGAUAACUCAUACUUGAUGAGCCUUGAUGGAGAAAUGAAAGUCCAGUUAAAAUUAUUCAAAAUGCAUAUCCACUCGCCAAGAACAUAUGCACCCAGAAAUCUCCUUAAAUAAAUAAGGUUUUAACAAGGUGAAUGCUUUGCUUUUUCUUUUUUUGGGAAGAACUUCAAAGUAAACAAAGGUAAGACUAUUGGGUUUUGAUGUUUACCUUGUGUGGGAGAAAUGUGAUGUUUACCCAGAAAUCACAUUUUGUUUUCAGAAUAAAUGGUUUUUUCCACCUCUGCAUUUGACAUUGAAAAAACUUGAAUAAAUACCAAAUAAUUAAGAUAUGCUGCUGAUUUAAUUUACAAAGGAAUGGCGCAUGUGAAGAGAAAUUGACAUAUGACAAUCACCUUCAGCACAAUCAAUUCUCAUCCUAAUUUAGAAGACUAAUCAAACUAAUUGCAGCAAUAACAUCUUUUCCACGAAGUCUACUAACUUCUGCACAUAGAGUCAAAAUUAAUCCGUUAUAUCCAUGAAAAGAAUGAAGGCAGAAUUACAUUAAAAAAUGAAUAAAAAUGACGGUUAAAAGAAAGACCUGCCAAUGCAUUUAAAAUCUCUUUGAAUUUGUUUCCCACAUCCCAAUUUAUUAGAAUUUCAGGUGAGUAAAAAACAAAUAAAUGAUUCCUCUAGCUUGAUGAGCCUGUACAUGUGGGAAAAAAGUGUUAAAAUAUUAUCAUAAAGCAAAUAAAUUCUCAAUUAUACAAAAAAUAAAAGAAAGAAAAGGUACUCUGUAUAUUGAUCUUGAUUGUAAAGAAAUAAUGACAAAAGGUACUCUGUAUAUUGAUCUUGAUUGUAAAGAAAUAAUGACAAAAGGAUACUUACGAACUCAAAGGUAAUACACUGCUCAUUUUGGAAGAAACACAUCCAACACUUCAAAACUUAUCCUUCAUUGAUCUGUGUAAAUAGAAUCAUAGAGUGAAGAUUUUCUCAUGUAAGUUUAAUUUGCAAAUUGGAGAGAAAAAGGACCAACUUACCGAAGCUUCAUCAUCCAGUAGAUAGCGGCCCUCUCUUUGAAUUCUUUGGUCAUCAACUUCAAUAUUUGGGAUGUGAGAAAUGAAAGCCCAAUCCGCACCCUUUCUAUUUCCACAUCUUUCCUUCAAUUGGGGACGGUCAUUGAUAUUCAAUUCUCGUAACGAGGUGAGGGAACGCAUCUCUUGAGGCAGACACUUUAUUGCCGGACAAAUCUGAAUGGUUAGUCUUUGAAGACAAGUGAGAUUCCACAGUCCAUCUGGAGGUAGAGAUUCCAGCUCUUCAAUGUCCGUAAUCUGAAGGAUCUUCAAUUUAGAGAGAGGAGGAAUGAUUGAGGAAGAAGAAGAGAUUGAUGGUGUGAAUAUUUGGUGCACAAGUUGUGGGCUUGCGCAGUGCAAAUAUAGUGAAUGAUCGAGAGAUGGAAACUGAGGGAUGGAGUUCAAAUUAGGGCAGUCCCUACAAACGAAAUACGAAAGACAAGGAAAUUGGAGUAGCUCAAGAGCUGUCGAAUCAUCCUUCUUCUUCUGCAAUCCUUUAAGCUUAGGACAACCAUAUAGCACGAGAACCCUUAGGGAUGGAAAGAAUGAUGUUGCUUGUCCCUCAAUCUCAAUGUACUCUAAAUCAUCUACUUCACGAAUAUGUAGAUAUUGAAGAGAAGGGAUUUGAUCCAUUGGUGGGAGAUGCUGAUAUCUAUUGCAAUUCCGUAUACAGAGAUAGACAAGAUUCGUGAGGGAAGAGAACCAACUUGGGAACCUCCUGCCUCCAUUGCCAAGCACACGUAACUCUUUAAGAUUGGGAUGCGGUUGGAGAUUUUGGAAUGCCAUUUCAUCUCUAUCAACAUUUGAAUCUUCCCAACUCUCCUCGCAACGUAAUUCCAAUGAUUGAAGGACUGGUUUCUCUUUCAUAUUAACAUUUACAAUCUCAUUAUCCACACAACCCAGAUUUAUAAUUUCAAGACGUCCCCUCAAAUUCUUAAGCUUAUUCAGUUCAUUUAUUUUUUCAACAUCCUUUGAGGAAAUAUGCCCUUUUGCCACUACGAACAGCGACAACGUCUGAAGUGAAGUCAACUGCCCAAGCCCACGUGGCAUAUGAGUCAAAGAGUAACAACCUUCACAAUAUAAAUGCCUAAGAUUUACAAGCUUUUUAAUAUCUUUAGGCAAUUCUUUGAGCUGGACACAGUAAGAGACAUCUAAUACUUGUAAAUUCAGCAAAUCGGUAAUAGAAUGUGAAAGUGCUUUAAGUCCCUUGUUAUCGGAACGUCAAGAUAUCUUAUAUAUUUUAGCAUUUUUAAAGAAUUAUCCAUCGUUGUAUAUGAAUGCAUCAUAAAUACACGUAAAAAUUUUAAAUUUUUAUAAAUAAAUAGUUGAUCGCAAUCAUAUUUCUCAAGCAAAAGAAG
rnacentral:lncRNA from 1 species